AGAGUUUGAUCAUGGCUCAGGAUGAACGUUGGCGGCGUGCCUAAUACAUGCAAGUCGAACGGGAAGGCGCUUUCGGGCGCUGGAGAGUGGCGAACGGGUGAGUAACACGUAACUGAUCUGCCCUGUAGACUGGGAUAACCUUUGGAAACAGAGGCUAAUACCGGAUGAGCUUGCGGUAGUUAGAGAGCCGUAAGGGAAAGCAUUGGUGCUAUGGGAUGAGGUUGCGGACCAUCAGCUAGUUGGUGAGGUAAAGGCUUACCAAGGCGAUGACGGAUAGGGGAUCUGAGAGGGUGGCCCCCCACACUGGGACUGAGACACGGCCCAGACUCCUACGGGAGGCAGCAGUAAGGGAUAUUGCACAAUGGACGGAAGUCUGAUGCAGCGACGCCGCGUGGGUGAAGAAGGUUUUCGGAUCGUAAAGCCCUUUUCUAUGUGACGAGGAAGGACGGUAGC
rnacentral:rRNA from 1 species